GCAUUUGAUGCCAAGGGUGGUGAAAGCAUGAGAUUCAAAAAUCAAUCUGUACAGUGGCUCAGUGCCUAUAGUUUCAUACUUUUUUUCCCCUCAUUUUCUAUAUUGUGUUGGCUUGAUAAGGAGUGUGCGGCAGUUCGACCUGAGCAAAGCACAAGUCAAUUUGUUUCAAGCAACAGCGCCAACACAGAAAAUUUAAGCAGCACAAGUAGGCCAAGGUUGAUUGAAAAUGAGGAUGGCUUCCUGGAGCUGUGCUGCUUGCAAGGGCCAGGAUUCUGGAGAGGUUGAGAGGGGUGCCUCUUUCUGCAAACAGGUCUGAUGAUGGAUCCAUUUUUCUUCUCUGACUCCACUUUUAGAUGGACCUCUAUGUGUAAAAACUGGGUUAUAGUGACCCAUUUAAUUCUUAUGGAAUGGCCAGAAAAACCUGCCUAGAGAACAUCACUCAUCACUGCCACAAGUGAGCCUGACUCAUUGCCAGUGGAUUCACAUACCUGUCCUCAUGCAAAUGCAUACUUGCUCACUUCAUAUUAGCUAUUCCUUGCUUUCCUCUAUCCUCCGUUUUCUGUCAUUUCAAUCCAUUGAUCCAUAAAACAACUGAGUAGCAUGUGAGGUAACAAUUAUAUGGUAACUGCAAUUCAUGAGCAUACCUUUGAUAACUUUAAGUGAACGUACUUUGACCAUGAGGUAUAUUGGUUAAGGUCUAAUGUUCUGCAAUGGAAAGAACAAAUUAAAUGGACAUGCUUUUAGUAUCCUUUUUGCUUGCCUGCUGGGAUAUUUCUUCUACUUGUUUUGAUUUUUUAAAUUUGAGAGCCUGUUCUCUAAGUGUUUGGUUGCUACUACCAUAUUAUACGUAGAAACUGUUUUUUGUUCCUUCACUGCCUUUAACUCAUUGAAGAUAUUGCAUUGCGGACAUGUCACAUUACAAAACUGGCAAGAUUGGUCUGAGAUGGAGGGCAGAGAAGGAAGUCAUAUCUGGGAAAGGUCAACUUUAGUUAUUCUGAAGCUGGAGAAAACAAACAAGCACUUGUGAAAUUGGUAACUUGUGAGAGAUGUGCGGAUAAGCUUCAUUACAAAAGGCAGAAAGAGAAGGAGCAAUCAGAAAAAAGAGAACGAGAAGAAAACAAAAGAAAGAGGAAUCGGUCAAGGAGUAUUGAUGAAACAGAUAAUGACUGCGAAGGGAGCAAGGAGAGAAGAAAAGGAAAAAAGGCUUCAAUUUGAACUGAGGAUCAUAAAGUUGAUGAUGAUGAUAACUUUGAUGAGUUUCUUGAGGGGAUGUUUCCAUGACCGACUGCUGCCAUAUUUAGAUAGAUGGUUGCUUGCCAACAUUGACAACAUUAUAGCAAAAUGCUGAAGUUCCAAAAUAGAAUGAACCUUGGUGUUUCAUAGUUCCAAACAUUUCUUUACCCUUUAAAUUCCAUUAAACCGUUAUCUGUGUAUCCAUUAGGAACAGAAAUUAACAUGUAACCUAGG